rnacentral:rRNA from 1 species
AUGAAGAGUCGGUGCUGCAACGAGCUGUCGGCCAUCCCGGCCUACUGCAGGUGCGAAGCGCUGCGUAUCCUCAUGGAUGGGGUAGUAACUCCGCAGGGUGUGUUCAAGGGUGGCUACCUCAAGGACAUGCAUGCCCAACUGCCCAAGGGUGAGGCAAAGGAGCUACGCCACCCUCGUGGCCCCGCAGGAGUGUAA